AAGAGAUUACUUGCAAGCUCUGCGGCCAGACUUGGGGUGUAGGAAGUGUUUGUUUUUGUUUCUGUCACCAGGCAGCAGGGAACUCGUCGCCUUUGUUCUGGAGGUCAUGCUGCUAGAGAUGGCAAAUAUUGACAUACAUGGAGCCUUACAGGCUGCCAGGAAGUACAAAGGGAUUUCUCUCUCUCUGCACCAGAAAAUGAGAUGGUAACCAGUAAGCAUGCAGAGCACU
rnacentral:lncRNA from 1 species